rnacentral:rRNA from 1 species
AUUGAACGCUGGCGGCAGGCCUAACACAUGCAAGUCGAACGAGUGGCGGACGGGUGAGUAAUGUCUGGGAAUCUGCCCGAUGGAGGGGGAUAACUACUGGAAACGGUAGCUAAUACCGCAUACCAUCGGAUGUGCCCAGAUGGGAUUAGCUAGUUGGUGGGGUAAUGGCUCACCAAGGCGACGAUCCCUAGCUGGUCGGAGAGGAUGACCAGCCACACUGGAACUGAGACACGGACCAGACUCCUACGGGAGGCAGCAGUGGGGAAUAUUGGACAAUGGGGGCAAGCCUGAUGCAGCCAUGCCGCGUGUAUGAAGAAGGCCUUCGGGUUGUAAAGUACUUUCAGUGGGGAGGCGUUACUUACAGAAGAAGCACCGGCUAACUCCGUGCCAGCAGCCGCGGUAAUAC